rnacentral:rRNA from 1 species
UACGUAGGGUGCGAGCGUUGUCCGGAAUUAUUGGGCGUAAAGAGCUUGUAGGCGGUUUGUCGCGUCUGCUGUGAAAUCCGGGCUCAACCCGGACUUGCAGUGGGUACGGGCAGGCUAGAGUGUGGUAGGGGAGACUGGAAUUCCUGGUGUAGCGGUGAAAUGCGCAGAUAUCAGGAGGAACACCGAUGGCGAAGGCAGGUCUCUGGGCCACUACUGACGCUGAGGAGCGAAAGCGUGGGUAGCAAACAGG